rnacentral:rRNA from 1 species
AUUGAACGCUGGCGGCAGGCCUAACACAUGCAAGUCGAGCGAGUGGCGGACGGGUGAGUAAUGUAUGGGAAUCUGCCAGAUGGAGGGGGAUAACUACUGGAAACGGUAGCUAAUACCGCAUACUAUCGGAUGCGCCCAUAUGGGAUUAGCUAGUAGGUGGGGUAAAGGCUCACCUAGGCGACGAUCCCUAGCUGGUCUGAGAGGAUGAUCAGCCACACUGGGACUGAGACACGGCCCAGACUCCUACGGGAGGCAGCAGUGGGGAAUAUUGCACAAUGGGCGCAAGCCUGAUGCAGCCAGGCCGCGUGUAUGAAGAAGGCCUUAGGGUUGUAAAGUACUUUCAGCGGGGAGGCGUUACCCGCAGAAGAAGCACCGGCUAACUCCGUGCCAGCCGCCGCGGUAAUAC